AAGAUGCAGCACCCCUGCAGGGUUAGUUGAGCUUUCCCAUCUUGAGGAGAGAUUUUGUCCUUACCUCUAUAGAGAAAACCCCUCUAUGUGGACUAAGAGAAAAUCUGGGAUAAUUGAAUUUUGAGAGAUUUAAUUUAAAUCCAUGUCAGAUACUAUACAGAGGCUCCAAGGGAUAUAUAUGUAUUUUUUAUCCAGAUAUAACAUGACAUGCUUUCUCGUUCCUUCAAAAGUCAGUGGCAAUGGUCUUGACCGCCCCUGAGAAAACUCUUCAGUAUCAGUGGUUUAAUUUAGACUUCUGGGCUCUUCUCAGGAGGCAGGGGCUGAAAACCUCACCUGUUUUGGACACCAUUGCCCAACAAAAUGUGGAGUUUCAUCACAGGGGAAGUUUGAGAACGCAUCUUCUCAUGAUCCUCCUUCGAGCACACGUCAGUUUGAAUGAAGUUUUCUAUUUGGACUGCUUACAACUCCAGCUGUAGAUUAUGCUCCAGCUGUAUCUACAUUACCAAAAUUUCCAUGCUGAUCAAAAUUACAUGGUGGCUCUGGGUGCUUGUAUGGCUGUUUGGAGGCUGCAUAUCCAUCAGACAUUGUCUCUGGAUUUGGAUGGGGGGGAGAUGCAGCCGGAGAGAUGAUGUUGGACCAAGGCUUCAGGAAGGGUCUGGGAGUUCCUAUAAGGCAGAGCAGGAGCCUGAUGACAGGGUUUGGUGAUCUGUAAAAUGAUUGUUUGUGUUGGGCAACUUCACAGUAUUCUAACACCUAUCCUAGGAGACAGAAUCCUGUCUCCUAAAAGUGAAGAGUGGCAGAACUGAAGACCAAAUUUCUACUGCUUCUUCCCAGCACCCAUUUCAUCACCAGAGAAAACAACAGGAUAUUGGGCAGCUGGGACCAAAAGGAAGUUGGAAUGGACUCUUGUGAAAAAUGCAAUAAAAAAAAAAAAAGAAAAGAAAAAAAACAAAAGUGGGGUAAGAAGGAGGAGAGGAAAAAAAUAGAAAAGCACCAGGCUGACUCAGCACAUGUAAACAGAAACAUUCCCUGCACUUAUGUCAGAGGAAAAGGUUCCCAAAGCCGCCUGCAUACUGCACAUGUUCCUGUCUUCCCCCUCACUGAGGCAUUUGUAUAUACAUACAGUCUUUUUAAGUGGUGAUUUUCAGGUCACAGAAACCACUCUUCCUGAUGGGUGCAGGGAACAGCUCAGUCUGCCCUCUUAACUCAGACUGUCCAAUCUGACACCUUGGAACAAGAAGCUAAAUAAAAACAUGGGCUGCCCUGCAAGAAAUUCGAGCACGUUUUGAGGGACUGAAGAGAAAGCAAAGCAGUCAGAGGCUGCCUGAUGUCCUCUCCUUGGGUAAGCUGUCCCUUGUAAAUUCUUUACUGUAGAGAGUAGCUGUAGACAUUUUUACAGUUCAUAAAUGCGAAACCAUUCUCUGUUUCCUAGCAAUAAAGAUAUCCUGUGGCAACGAUAAGCUAAUUACACGCUGCAUACAGAAGAUUAACUUUAAAUGUGUUGUUCUCUCAUGUCACUGGCUGCCUCCUUUUUCUUGCUUUAAAAGGAAGGGCAGAUUUAGCAAAUUAAUCAUUUUUAAAACACUGACACCUUGUUACAGCCUCUAUCUUACUGACUGUAUCUCAAAGCCAAGUAGCUCUCAUCUUUGUAGUCCCUUUUCCUUUCAGAGUCAGCACCUGACACCCUCCCUUUGGUGGAGACUUUCUUAAUCAUCUCUGAGAUAGGAUGAUCACUGAGCAGUGCAAGGAGUUGGUGGAGUUUCAUUUACAUAAGUAAUGCUGCUCACGGAGGUAUUUUCACUUACUUCCUCCUUCUCUUCGAUUCUUAUAUGCUGUUAAUCUUGCUCCACAUAUUUAACCCAUCUUUCUUUCUGGCUGGUUGUGGUUCUGUUUUGACCCAGUAGUCUGAAAAAGCAGCUCAGAUGAAUUACCCCCGCUUACAUUUGUCCAGAAUGAUCUCCUUUCCAUGCUGAAUUACUAAAUAAUUCCAUACUAAAUUCCUAAGAUUGCUAAAUUCCCCCUAUAAUGAGGCUUCUUUGAAAUUCCUAUGACUUUUCUCUAAAACUGAUAUAAUUCUGUGCCAUCUCAUCACAGAUUGCAGUUUAGAGCCCCAGGAUGUAUUACUAAAUUCUUUCCAAGUGAAAAAUCCACAUCCCUCCUCCACAUUCAGUUCUUAAUAAUUCUUUACAGGCUACAGUGAUUUUUCUCUUGGAGACUUUCUAAAUUUUGAUGGACAGAUUUUUAAACAGAAACUAUCCAAGGGUAAUUCACCCUACUGUGUGUUUAUCCAUGCAUCUGAUGCUAUGAAGUUCAGUCAGAUGAAAAUUGAAGGUUGUGGGCAUGCCUACAGACUGAUGAAAAUAAUAAUGUUUGGCUGUGAUUUGGAUCACAACUGUGUUGCCCAGUUAAAUCAACGUAGUGUUGGUGAUUCUCGUCUAAGAAUUUAACACUGCCUUACAGCUUCUUCAGCAGAACUUAAUCUUUCCAUUAAACAUUUAUUUCCAUUUCCAUCUUGCAGUCUCCCUUUCAAUAUUUUUAGGUUCUGCAUGUGUAAUUGUGCGGGUUUUUUUCUCCUGUUUGGCUCUUCUACCACAUCCUGAAGACCUCUUCUGUUCAGUGUAUAUGAGUAAACACUGAGCACUGAGCAAAAAAAAGUUAGAAACCAAAGCCAAUGCUGGCCUGAAUCUACAAUAAAAGAUGUCCUUUCCCUUCUGAUGCAGGAAAACUUGCAAUUCCUACGACACAGAGUUGACUUUGGCACACUGCACUGUACACUAUGGUAUUUAUAACAUCAAUAAAAUGUCACAGGGCUACAAUGUUUAGCUGGUUGUUGCUAAGCUUUUGCAUUCUGCUUUGUUUAGUAAUUUGAUCCCUCCUCUUACCCUUUUCAUUAAGUAGCAACUUUCUAGAGCAGAUGAUUGGGUCUCCCCAGCAAUCACUGGAAGCGAUUAAAUUGACGUCGUGGAAAAAUUGUUCAACAACAACAGUAAUCCCACACCAGAGACAAACGGGUUGUGCUUAAGAUGAUGAGCAAAAACUUAGGGUUGAUUUUUUGAAAAGAAAUUCAAGACAUUACUGGAUUUCUACCUCUGUAGAAAUAGCAAAGGCUCCCAGUGUUUCAUGCAGAACUACAACCUCACCUAGUAGUACACAGUACAAGCUCACACUGAAUACCAACCUCGU